UGGAGCCCUGGGGCCCAAGAGGAUAAGCUGGCAAAGGAGACUGAGAAGGAGCAGAAAGCACCCAGAAGACAAGAGAAAAAAGUAUUUCAAAUAGAAGGGAGUGAGUUGUCAACUGUGUCAAAUAUUGCUGAGAGAUCAAAUAAAAUGAGAGCAAAGAGGACCAUUGCCAGCGUGAGCAUCACUAGUGACCUUGACAAUGCAGUCCCGGGGGCAUAGAGAAGUCAGAUGCUUGUUUGAAGGAGGUGGAGAGUGAGUGUGGGGUGAGAAGGGAAGGGCUGUGACGAUUUCAAGGAGCGUUUCCAGAGGACAAGCAGAGAGCUGGCCAGACCUCCAGAGUUGCGCCGACCAACAUGGAGGCGCUAGUCACACAUGGCUAUUUAAAAACUUAAAUGAAAACUAGCUAAAAUCAAAUAAAGUUAAAAAUUCAGUUUCUCAGUCACAUUACCCAUAUUUGAAGGGCUUGAUAGCCACAUGUGGCUAGUGGUUACUCUAUUGAUUAGAGCACGUAUAUUUUUAUCCUCACAGGAAGUUCUAUUGGACAACCCUGCUCUCGAGGAUGUGGGGUUAAGGAAGGUUUUGGUUUGGUUUGGUUGUUAAUUUUUACUGUGAGAGGUACUAGGCAGCGGUCAGACAGAGAGUGGAGGUGCAUCUUUCUUCAUGGACGUCUCUUCCUUUACCUCCCUUCAGAUGCUGGUGCGCCCGACAGAUCCAUCCAUCACCCCUGCUCUUCCUCUUCCCUUGACAACCAUCCUCCCUUGACAACCUCAUCCAUGCUUAUGAUCAGUUGUCACCCAUCAAUUGUCCCCAUUAUUAUGUCUCUCUCCUGAGCUGCAGACCCAUAGUCCACCUACCUAGGGACCAUGUCAACUUAGAAGUCCCACAGCAAUUUCAAACUCAGUAUGUCCCAAACUGAACCACCUCUUUCUCCUGGUCCAACUCCUAUGGCACCUCCAUGAAUUCCAUCCACUCGCCCACGCCAGCAAGGUGAGAGUCAUUUUGAACUCCUCUUCCUCUUCACUCUAUCUCUGGAGGCUGGCUGCUCAGGGCAGGCACCCGCCAGAGGACACCCUUCCCAGUAGGGGAGGUCAGAGGCACAGGGCUGUCCCUGCUUCUUGAAGUGGAGCCCACAAGACCGACCUGGGGCCCUGACUAAUGCAGAGGAGCCCUCGCCUGAAGGGCUGGACUUGGGAGUCACUGGGAGAGAAGACCAAAGCUCUCCUCAUGUCCAAGUAACUGCACAGAGCAGGGAGCAGCCAAAAGGGGCCCUGCUGAACCCCUUGGGAAGAGGAUAGCGAGGUUGGUGUGAGUUGGAGGCGUAGAUGUGUCAUGUCUUCCUCUCCACUUUCAGGAGUGAAGGGUGUUGACUUCCUAAUGAUGAUCAGGGCCGGCACGGAUCUAGGAGGCAGUCCAGUCAAGUCCGCCAUUCUGUGAGUGAGAUGAAGCGACUCACUAAACCUCGCCUCGUCCCGAGCUUUGCCACGAUAGCAUCCUGCUUCAGAUUACUUUGAACUUUGGAUACACAGCAAGUGGUGAUAAAGGAUAAUGAUCCAGGAAUCAUGGCGUGGGUGAAGUUGAGUCACCUAGAAAAUGUGCCAAAGCCUAGCUGUUACUUUGGACUAUUAUUUGCAGCAAGAUCUCUCCCCUUUCGUCUCAGAGCUGAAUUGGGUGAACUCGUGGCUUCCAACCCUUUCUACAUUUGCUCCCUUUGAGAAGGAAGGAAUAAGACCCAGAAGACAAUACUAUCAUUUAUUAUCUACACUAUUUCAAGCACUGAGCUUUACAUAUUUUAUAUCACUUGUUCAUCCCACCAAUCUUGAAAGGAUGGUGCUACCCCAUUUUCCAGAGGAGAUCUCUGAGGUUCAGAAAGUUAGAGUUCCAGGUUCCCUGAUUAUUAAGUGAGGGAGGUUGAAUUGAGCUCAGAUCUGUUAUGCUCCACAGUCCCUCACGUGAGGAAGAGAGCUUGGGAGCAUUUUAGCUGCAUUCCUCCUUAGAUUCUGACUGAGAUGGACAUGAUUUCUCCUGCUCAUCCCCCUGGUCCCCACCUCCUCUAAUCUAUGAGCCUAUAGCUUCAUAUUCUGACAGCACGAUCCUUUUCUUCCUACAUGUAUGAUCAUGGAUCAAGGGGUGGAGUGGUUCAUCUCACACGCUUACAUAUAUUGUAGGCUCUUAAAUCUUCACUUCCAGCUCUAACUCGUAACAUCACCUAGGGCCUUCUCUUCAGUCUUUCACCUGUCCUGCCUUCCAGGGAAUAGACAUCAGCUUUUGCACACCUGCCGACCCCCAGCUUACAAAGUGGUCUCUGCCAGACCACACUUCCCACUGUGGAAGGAGGCACCUGAGAGGUGCCUGGGCCCAUCCCCUGGCCUCUGUGUAGGCCAGCACGUGGGCCUGCCCCACUGAGUUGGAGAACUUUCAGGAUAGCACAUGAGUGGUGAUCCAGAGAAGCAGCUGCCAACACAUCUGAGGGCUCAGAACUACUGUGCUAGGCUGAGCAGACGCUACCUCCUAUAUCUGGCACCUGGUUUGCUCCCAGUGGCAGCAAGAUUGCAGCAGGUACAGCAGAGAUACAGGCCAAGUGAAGUAGAAUUGCUACUUUACGUUUUAAAAUCGAAUGAAUGGCCUUUACAAACUUCCACCCAAAAUCCUUCAAAAAGAGGUGAGGACAACCCUGACCCCACUCUCACCUUCCACCUGAUCAGUCUAAGCUGAAGGAAGAGCAAUCCUUUAUGGAUAUGGGAGGACAGAUAAAGUUCAGGAUGGGGACAUUCUCACUGGGUCCACUUGCCCCUCUUCAAGAUGGAGACAACUGGAUUUGGAUUUAUUAUCCUAUUCUUGAACCCCAAACACCAUUCUUACAGCAAAAAUGCUCUUUGAAGGGUGAGGACAUGGGGAAGCAUGGUAUCUUUAAGUAACAAGGGAAGAGAACCUCUCAAAUUGGGAGAAUUGGGGAAAUGGGCAUGCCACUAGGAACGAGGACGCAGAGCAGAAGGGCAGGCUGGAUGUAACUUUCAUCUCGGAGAAAAGUGAACUUUACGCCGUGUUGGCCAGCCUUGUGUUGAUGCCAGGGCUCCAGAUACCUACCAAGUCUUACCUUACAGCUAGUCCCAAGCUUCCUUCUUUAUCAGGGCAAUUAACAAAAAAUAAAGUGAUUGCUCCUCAUGGUGUGUCCUGAAAUAUACACAUGAAACAGUUCAACCAAAUACAGCCUGUUGAAUUGGUCCUUCAGGAGGGGGGCCUUCCCUCUUUUGGGGAGUCUGUGAUAAGAUGUGGCUUGGCCCUUUGUAGGAGUCCCUGUCAGCUGUGACAGACCAGGUCUUCGCCUAGGACCAGGAAUAAGGUGCCAGGCUUUCAGGGUGUGUGUGAGAGUGUACAUAGAAACUGUCACACCCUCAUCCCACGUACCAUAUCAGGGUGGAGCCAUUUGUUGUCCUCACCUUAACCAUCUCAACAUUUUCUGAAAGACUGAGCUUUGACGGUGCUGGGUCCCCAAGGUCACAGCCCAGAAAUGCUCAGCAGACCCAAAGGGCACCUUGCCAGCAAUGGUUCCCUUUAUCUGUCCCUCAUAUCUGGGGAUCCUGGACUCCAACCAGGUCACAGGCAUGAAUAACAUUUAUUUCCUAAGGGGAAGCAGGGGUCUGUCUAGCCAUGUCUGAUCUCCAAGCUUGUAUUCACAAGCUCACACCACCUACCUAUGUUACCCUCUGUGGACAUUUUCUCAAGUUGUUCUCAAGGAAUUUGGGGUUAAUAAUGAGUUACUAUAUUGCUACUUUCCAAAGAUAAAAUUAAAAAACACAACACCAAAUAUGAUCCUGAACAACAUUUAAUCUCUGGUGUUUCAGAAGACAGUCGAGCAUCUUGAAGGGCCUUAAGGUUGAGCCUCUGAUAGUGACUAUUGGUCCUUGGGGUGCUGUGUGGACAUGCAAAAACACUGCUUGAGGAGAGGCAGCGUGCAGCGUGGAAUGGGAGGCAGGAGCCCCAGCUCUGUUAGCACACGGCAGAGUGACCACGGAU